UGGGGAAUAUUGCACAAUGGGCGCAAGCCUGAUGCAGCCAUGCCGCGUGUGUGAAGAAGGCCUUCGGGUUGUAAAGCACUUUCAGCGGGGAGGAAGGCGGUGAGGUUAAUAACCUCAUCGAUUGACGUUACCCGCAGAAGAAGCACCGGCUAACUCCGUGCCAGCAGCCGCGGUAAUACGGAGGGUGCAAGCGUUAAUCGGAAUUACUGGGCGUAAAGCGCACGCAGGCGGUCUGUCAAGUCGGAUGUGAAAUCCCCGGGCUCAACCUGGGAUCUGCAUUCGAAACUGGCAGGCUAGAGUCUUGUAGAGGGGGGUAGAAUUCCAGGUGUAGCGGUGAAAUGCGUAGAGAUCUGGAGGAAUACCGGUGGCGAAGGCGGCCCCCUGGACAAAGACUGACGCUCAGGUGCGAAAGCGUGGGGAGCAAACAGG
rnacentral:rRNA from 1 species